GGCUCUAUCCCUCUGUUCUUCCAUCCCUCUGUUCCUCUAUUCCUCUGCUCCUCCAUCCCUCACUUCUCUAUCCCUCUGUUACUCCAUCCCUAUGCUCCUCCACCCUGUUACUCCAUCUCUCACAUCUCUAUCCCCCUGUUACUCUAUUCCUCUACUCCUCCACCCUGUUACUCCAUCUCUCACAUCUCUAUCCCCCUGUUACUCUAUUCCUCUACUCCUCCAUCCCUCCAGCCCCAUCCCUCACUUCUCUAUCCCUGUUACUCUGCUCCACCAUUCAUCCCUCUGCUCCUCCAUCCCAUCUCUCUGCUCCGCCUCCCUCACAUCUCUAUCCCCUUGUUAGUCCAUCCCUCUGCUCCAUCCCAUCUCUCUGCUCCGCCUCCCUCACUUCUCUAUCCCCUUGUUAGUCCAUCACUCUGCCCUCCAUCCCUCUGCCCUCCAUCCCUCUGUUCCUCCAUCCCUCUGCCCUCCAUCCCUCUGUUCCUCCAUCCCUCUGCCCUCCAUCCCUCUGUUCCUCCAUCCCUCUGCCCUCCAUCCCUCUGUUCCUCCAUCCCUCUGCCCUCCAUCCCUCUGUUCCUCCAUCCCUCUGCCCUCCAUCCCUCUGUUCCUCCAUCCCUCUGCCCUCCAUCCCUCUGUUCCUCCAUCCCUCUGCCCUCCAUCCCUCUGUUCCUCCAUCCCUCUGCCCUCCAUCCCUCUGUUCCUCCAUCCCUCUGCCCUCCAUCCCUCUGUUCCUCCAUCCCUCUGCCCUCCAUCCCUCUGUUCCUCCAUCCCUCUGCCCUCCAUCCCUCUGUUCCUCCAUCCCUCUGCCCUCCAUCCCUCUGUUCCUCCAUCCCUCUGCCCUCCAUCCCUCUGUUCCUCCAUCCCUCUGCCCUCCAUCCCUCUGUUCCUCCAUCCCUCUGCCCUCCAUCCCUCUGUUCCUCCAUCCCUCUGCCCUCCAUCCCUCUGUUCCUCCAUCCCUCUGCCCUCCAUCCCUCUGUUCCCCAUCCCUCACUCCCCACCCCCAGUAUCCUCUCUCCUCCAUCCCUCCAUCGCUCCCUCAUUCUCCCCGUUUCCCUGGCAACGCCCAUCUCGCGCAGAGAUCUGUCCCCUCUCUCCCUCUUAUCUUUCUCCUCUCUCUUUCAUCUCUCUCCUAAUCUCCCUCUCCAUUCCGAACCUCUGUCCUUUGCUUCCUUUCUCUCUCUCUCCCUUUUCAUCUCCCCCAAAGCCUUCUCUAUCUCAGGGUUACAAUUAUUUGAAUCUCACUUUAAAGCAAUGAUCUGUUUAAUUAACCACGGGGCCCCGGCCCCGCUCCCACCCUCCCGCAGCCCCCACUCCUGGCACGGGACCCCUGCCCACACCCCAGAGUCCCUUGGCCAAGGGCAGUGGGGUGACACUGCCCUGGCACCCCUUCUCCAGCCCUGA
rnacentral:lncRNA from 1 species